AUUCUUUCCAGAGUCAAAUCUUAAUGUCUU
rnacentral:piRNA from 1 species